AUUGAACGCUGGCGGCAGGCUUAACACAUGCAAGUCGAGCGGAGAUGAGGUGCUAGCACCUUAUCUUAGCGGCGGACGGGUGAGUAAUGCUUAGGAAUCUGCCUAUUAGUGGGGGACAACAUUCCGAAAGGAAUGCUAAUACCGCAUACGUCCUACGGGAGAAAGCAGGGGAUCUUCGGACCUUGCGCUAAUAGAUGAGCCUAAGUCGGAUUAGCUAGUUGGUGGGGUAAAGGCCUACCAAGGCGACGAUCUGUAGCGGGUCUGAGAGGAUGAUCCGCCACACUGGGACUGAGACACGGCCCAGACUCCUACGGGAGGCAGCAGUGGGGAAUAUUGGACAAUGGGGGGAACCCUGAUCCAGCCAUGCCGCGUGUGUGAAGAAGGCCUUAUGGUUGUAAAGCACUUUAAGCGAGGAGGAGGCUACUGAGACUAAUACUCUUGGAUAGUGGACGUUACUCGCAGAAUAAGCACCGGCUAACUCUGUGCCAGCCGCCGCCGCGG
rnacentral:rRNA from 1 species